rnacentral:rRNA from 1 species
UACGUAGGGUGCAGGCGUUAAUCGGAAUUACUGGGCGUAAAGCGUGCGCAGGCGGUUUCUUAAGUCAGAUGUGAAAGCCCCGGGCUUAACCUGGGAACUGCGUUUGAAACUGGGAGACUUGAGUGUGGCAGUGGGGGGUGGAAUUCCACGUGUAGCAGUGAAAUGCGUAGAUAUGUGGAGGAACACCGAUGGCGAAGGCAGCCCCCUGGGUUAACACUGACGCUCAUGCACGAAAGCGUGGGGAGCAAACAGG